AGUGAACGCUGGCGGUAGGCCUAACACAUGCAAGUCGAACGGCAGCACAGUAAGAGCUUGCUCUUACGGGUGGCGAGUGGCGGACGGGUGAGGAAUACAUCGGAAUCUACUUUUUCGUGGGGGAUAACGUAGGGAAACUGACGCUAAUACCGCAUACGACCUACGGGUGAAAGCAGGGGAUCUUCAGACCUUGCGCGAUUGAAUGAGCCGAUGUCGGAUUAGCUAGUUGGCGGGGUAAAGGCCCACCAAGGCGACGAUCCGUAGCUGGUCUGAGAGGAUGAUCAGCCACACUGGAACUGAGACACGGUCCAGACUCCUACGGGAGGCAGCAGUGGGGAAUAUUGGACAAUGGGCGCAAGCCUGAUCCAGCCAUACCGCGUGGGUGAAGAAGGUCUUCGGGUUGUAAAGCCCUUUUGUUGGGAAAGAAAAGCAGCAGGUUAAUACCCCGCUGUUCUGACGGUACCCAAAGAAUAAGCACCGGCUAACUUCGUG
rnacentral:rRNA from 1 species